UACAGAGACUGCAAGCGUUAUUCGGAUUCACUGGGCGUAAAGGGUGCGCAGGCGGUCGGGUGUGUCAGAUGUGAAAUCCCGAGGCUCAACCUCGGAACUGCGUCUGAAACUACUCGACUAGAGUACUGGAGAGGGUCGCGGAAUUCCCGGUGUAGGAGGUAGAAAUUCGUAGAUAUCGGGAGGAACACCAGUGGCGAAGGCGGCGACCUGGGCCAAUAUUGGACGCUGAGG
rnacentral:rRNA from 1 species